AGGCAAUAAAGUCUCAAAACCUCUGAAUGCGAUGUUGCAGAAGUGAGGUGAACCAGGCUUGCUAAAGUAAUUGUGGUGAUAAAAAUGUAUUGGCCUCAGAAGCUACUGAGGUGGUCCAUUCUAUCCUAGGACAGUG